rnacentral:rRNA from 1 species
GAUGAACGCUAGCUACAGGCUUAACACAUGCAAGUCGAGGGGCAGCAUGAACUUAGCUUGCUAAGUUUGAUGGCGACCGGCGCACGGGUGAGUAACACGUAUCCAACCUGCCGAUGACUCGGGGAUAGCCUUUCGAAAGAAAGAUUAAUACCCGAUGGCAUAAUUCUUCCGCAUGGUAGAACUAUUAAAGAAUUUCGGUCAUCGAUGGGGAUGCGUUCCAUUAGGUUGUUGGCGGGGUAACGGCCCACCAAAGCCUUCGAUGGAUAGGGGUUCUGAGAGGAAGGUCCCCACAUUGGAACUAGAGACACGGUCCAAACUACCUACGGA